AUCCAGCUGACGAGUUCCAAAUAAGAUGAAACGCGCGUCCUGGAU
rfam:Schistosoma margrebowiei strain Zambia genome assembly, scaffold: SMRZ_scaffold0001157